CUCUGUUCAGCUCUUCAAGUGGUUGUGGCUUGGAGUGAUCUUGGUUGCUUCUGGAUUUGUCACACAGUAUUCAUCUUGGGAUAAUAGUUUGAAACUUGUUCAUCUGUGCAGAAAGCUACAACUAUGGGAUUCUCUAAUUGUUUUCUGACUUGGAAUCUGCUGUGAACACUGACUGACCCUUGGAAGUGGCAUCCUUUCAGCUCUCCACCCUGUUUCCAGUGGUCUAUGCAGAAUGGCUGUUCAGUUGAGGGGGCUUGGUUUCCUUCUG
rnacentral:lncRNA from 1 species